rnacentral:tRNA from 1 species
GGGGUUGUGGCUCAGUGGUAGAGUGCUCGCCUCGCAUAUGUGAGGCCCUGGGUUCGAGCCUCAGCACCA